GGGCCGUUAGCUCAGCUGGCUAGAGUACCUGCCUUGCACGCAGGGGGUCGAGGGUUCGAAUCCCUCACGGUCCACCA
rnacentral:tRNA from 1 species